rnacentral:lncRNA from 1 species
GUGCAUUCCUCUGUUACUCUUAAUUAGAUGCAUAUCCGACAAGCCGCCUAUAUUGGUUCUUUUCAUGAUCAAUUCUUCCACAAUGCCCAUAUUUUGGUUUUCCAUGUUGGCUUGAUUUGGUGCUAUUCUUGGUACCGCCACAGCACCACUCACAUGGAAAGCACCGAUCUCAGUUCAUUCUUCUCUCCCUUGUACAACUUGCUUCUGUUGUCCCUCUUGAGCGAUCAUCGAAUAUGCUUUAUCGAGUAAUGGUAAUAGUUUGGAGUUCAGGAUCUAUGAUCGAACCAUCCCAAGCUUCUCCGCAUUCAAGCCCAUG